AACGCGAAGAACCUUACCUGGUCUUGACAUAGUAAGAACUUUCCAGAGAUGGAUUGGUGCCUUCGGGAACUUACAUACAGGUGCUGCAUGGCUGUCGUCAGCUCGUGUCGUGAGAUGUUGGGUUAAGUCCCGCAACGAGCGCAACCCUUUUCCUUAUUUGCCAGCACUUUGGGUGGGAACUUUAAGGAUACUGCCAGUGACAAACUGGAGGAAGGCGGGGACGACGUCAAGUCAUCAUGGCCCUUACGACCAGGGCUACACACGUGCUACAAUGGUCGGUACAAAGGGUUGCUACCUAGCGAUAGGAUGCUAAUCUCAAAAAGCCGAUCGUAGUCCGGAUUGGAGUCUGCAACUCGACUCCAUGAAGUCGGAAUCGCUAGUAAUCG
rnacentral:rRNA from 1 species